ACUACUACUACUACGACUAAAUUUACUUGAGUGUGUGUUAGAAAACGGGCGAAAAGAAAAUUGGCAACUUUUAUUGUUUACACCAUUAGUCACUAGCCGGAUGCCAUAGAGAGUGCACGUGCUUCCCUACCACGCCUUUGCAGUUUUCCAUGCUGUAACCAUGAAACGAAGGAGAUGCAUUAGUGGUGAGGUGUUGCAGCUACUAGUCAACUCCGACGAUUUCCAGCAUGACCUUGACAGUACCGCAGGCGAGGUCAGUGAUGCCAACACUACCGUUGACGCCGUGCAAGGAGGUCACCCUGUACACAGGAGAACAUGCCCCAAGGAGGUCACCCUACACAGGAGAACAUGCCCAGAUCACUCUGAUGUCCUCUGCUUCGACUGCCAGGAAUAAGUGAAAUGCAGCAAGAUAUGUAUGCAGCUCGGGAUUGGAAGGCACCUGGCAAUGUCGAGUGAUGCAUGUAGUAUAUAUUUCUAGCUUUAGUUUUUAGUAUCAGUUAAUUUCAUGAUCUCAGGAACCAAAAAAUUAAGUACUUUUUUUUCUUAAAAAAUUUUUUUUAUAAUUAUUCUGGAAAUUCAUUUUUGUUUAUAUUUCAUUCAUUUUUGUGUUUGCAGGCAUCUACGAGCCUUAUACUUUCAGUUUAGCAUUAUUUGGUUUAAAUAAAAUAAGUUUGUA
rnacentral:lncRNA from 1 species